GAAUUACUUUAUUGAAACUUCGGUCGAUUUAAUUUAAUUCUAGUGGCGGACGGGUGAGUAACGCGUGGGUAACCUGCCUUAUACAGGGGGAUAACAGUCAGAAAUGGCUGCUAAUACCGCCUAAGCGCACAGAGCUGCAUGGCUCGGUGUGAAAAACUCCGGUGGUAUAAGAUGGACCCGCGUUGGAUUAGCUUGUUGGUGGGGUAACGGCCCACCAAGGCGACGAUCCAUAGCCGGCCUGAGAGGGUGAACGGCCACAUUGGGACUGAGACACGGCCCAGACUCCUACGGGAGGCAGCAGUGGGGAAUAUUGCACAAUGGGGGAACCCCUGAUGCAGCGACGCCGCGUGAAGGAAGAAGUAUCUCGGUAUGCAAACUUCUAUCAGCAGGGAAGAUAGUGACGGUACCUGACUAAGAAGCCCCGGCUAACUACGUGCCAGCAGCCGCGGUAAUACGUAGGGGGCAAGCGUUAUCCGGACUUACUGGGUGUAAAGGGAGCGUAGACGGUGUGGCAAGUCUGAUGUGAAAGGCAUGGGCUCAACCUGUGGACUGCAUUGGAAACUGUCAUGCUUGAGUGCCGGAGGGGUAAGCGGAAUUCCUAGUGUAGCGGUGAAAUGCGUAGAUAUUAGGAGGAACACCAGUGGCGAAGGCGGCUUACUGGACGGUAACUGACGUUGAGG
rnacentral:rRNA from 1 species